UGGGGAAUUUUGGACAAUGGGCGAAAGCCUGAUCCAGCAAUGCCGCGUGCAGGAUGAAGGCCUUCGGGUUGUAAACUGCUUUUGUACGGAACGAAAAAGCUUCUCCUAAUACGAGAGGCCCAUGACGGUACCGUAAGAAUAAGCACCGGCUAACUACGUGCCAGCAGCCGCGGUAAUACGUAGGGUGCGAGCGUUAAUCGGAAUUACUGGGCGUAAAGCGUGCGCAGGCGGUUAUGUAAGACAGAUGUGAAAUCCCCGGGCUCGACCUGGGAACUGCAGUUGUGAAUGGAUGGCUAGAGUACGGUAGAGGGGGAUGGAAUUCCGCGUGUAGCAGUGAAAUGCGUAGAUAUGCGGAGGAACAGCGAUGGCGAAGGCAAUCCCCUGGACAUGUACUGACGCUCAUGCACGAAAGCGUGGGGAGCAAACA
rnacentral:rRNA from 1 species